AUUUAUAUAGUUUAAGCUAAAACGCUUCAUUUUCAAUGGAGUAUUGAGAUAAUAAUUUAUUCUCUAUAAAUA
rnacentral:tRNA from 1 species